ACUCAAAGGAAUAGACGGGGGCCCGCACAAGCGGCGGAGCAUGUGGAUUAAUUCGAUGCAACGCGAAGAACCUUACCUGGGUUUGACAUACACCGGAAAGCUGUGGAGACAUGGCCUCCGUAAGGUCGGUGUACAGGUGGUGCAUGGCUGUCGUCAGCUCGUGUCGUGAGAUGUUGGGUUAAGUCCCGCAACGAGCGCAACCCUUGUCCUAUGUUGCCAGCACGUGAUGGUGGGGACUCAUGGGAGACUGCCGGGGUCAACUCGGAGGAAGGUGGGGACGACGUCAAGUCAUCAUGCCCCUUAUGUCCAGGGCUUCACACAUGCUACAAUGGCCGGUACAGAGGGCUGCGAAGCCGUGAGGUGGAGCGAAUCCCAUAAAGCCGGUCUCAGUUCGGAUCGGGGUCUGCAACUCGACCCCGUGAAGUCGGAGUCGCUAGUAAUCGCAGAUCAGCAAUGCUGCGGUGAAUACGUUCCCGGGCCUUGCACACACCGCCCGU
rnacentral:rRNA from 1 species